rnacentral:rRNA from 1 species
UACGUAGGGGGCAAGCGUUGUUCGGAAUUACUGGGCGUAAAGGGCGCGUAGGCGGCACGACAAGUCGGGAGUGAAAGCCCGGGGCUCAACCCCGGAGGGUCUCUCGAAACUGUCGAGCUAGAGUGCGGAAGAGGCAAUCGGAAUUCCCAGUGUAGCGGUGAAAUGCGUAGAUAUUGGGAAGAACACCGGAGGGGGAGGCGGGUUGCUGGGCCGACACUGACGCUGAGGCGCGGAAGCCAGGGGAGCAA